GAGAUAGCUGGUUCUCUCCGAAAUAGCUUUAGGGCUAGCCUCAAGUGAUGAUUAUUGGAGGUAGAGCACUGUUUGGACGAGGGGCCCCUCUCGGGUUACCGAAUUCAGACAAACUCCGAAUGCCAAUUAAUUUAACUUGGGAGUCAGAACAUGGGUGAUAAGGUCCGUGUUCGAAAGGGAAACAGCCCAGACCACCAGCUAAGGUCCCAAAAUAUAUGUUAAGUGGAAAAGGAUGUGGCGUUGCCCAGACAACUAGGAUGUUGGCUUAGAAGCAGCCAUCAUUUAAAGAGUGCGUAAUAGCUCACUAGUCGAGUGACACUGCGCCGAAAAUGUACCGGGGCUAAACAUAUUACCGAAGCUGUGGAUUGUCCUUUGGACAAUGGUAGGAGAGCGUUCUAAGGGCGUUGAAGCAUGAUCGUAAGGACAUGUGGAGCGCUUAGAAGUGAGAAUGCCGGUGUGAGUAGCGAAAGACGGGUGAGAAUCCCGUCCACCGAUUGACUAAGGUUUCCAGAGGAAGGCUCGUCCGCUCUGGGUUAGUCGGGUCCUAAGCUGAGGCCGACAGGCGUAGGCGAUGGAUAACAGGUUGAUAUUCCUGUACCACCUAUAAUCGUUUUAAUCGAUGGGGGGACGCAGUAGGAUAGGCGAAGCGUGCGAUUGGAUUGCACGUCUAAGCAGUAAGGCUGAGUAUUAGGCAAAUCCGGUACUCGUUAAGGCUGA
rnacentral:rRNA from 1 species